rnacentral:sRNA from 1 species
UUUUAUAAAUUUCAUAUUAAAAUUUUAUUAAGUUCUUUGUUAUCUAAGGAGAAUUGUUACCUUUAUCCUCACAUGUUGUUCUUAUUUGUAGAAUCAAGAUUAGAAGGAUGGCUUUCAUUGCCUGUACGAAACAACACUAAGAAAUUUGGAUGGGUUAAAAAGUAUGUGAUUGUAAGCAGUAAGAAGAUUCUUUUCUAUGACAGUGAACAAGAUAAAGAACAAUCCAAUCCUUACAUGGUUUUAGAUAUAGAGUAAGUGUUUUUAUUAGAAUAUUUAGAAACUAUAUCUUUUAAAGUAUGAGACUAACAAUGCAAUUUAUUAGUCAUAGUAUAGCUCCUACUGUACUAUUGUUACAUUUUCCUGUGAUUUGCUUCAUACAGAUGAAAGUCUGGGAUACAGGGUUAGCUAAAACAUCUUUAUUUCAUGGGCCUUUGAUACAUUAUUUUUUGAAACUAAUUAGAAAAUUUCUGACAUAGAGGUUUCUAAAAAUCUUAAUUAAUUAUAGAAUUAAUAGAACAAAAUAUUCUGAGUUCCUAACAUGGGUCAAAGUAGUCAGUGUUUAACUUCUGACAUAAGUAUAGAAGAAUUAAUAU